AUACCCUAUUAUAUUUAAAUAACAUUAGGUAGUAAUAAAUUUUAAUUUAAACCUAUGUAUUUUGGCGGCAUUCAAUCUAUUUAGAGGAACCUGUCUUUUAAUCGAUACCCCACGAUAAUUCUUACUUUUUAUUAAAUCUUAUAUACCUCCAUCCAAAGGACUAAUUUAAACAUUUUAUUCUAAAAAAAUUUUUAAUAAGUUAGGUAAAGGUGUAGAACAUAAAAAAGAUAAGAUGGGUUACUAUAAACUUUAUUUAAGGAUACUUGAUCAAAAUUAAUAUUGAAAAAGGAUUUAUAAGUAUUUGAAAAAUAAUAUUUUCCACUGAAAUAGUUAAAAAUGUGC
rnacentral:rRNA from 1 species